AAGUCGUAACAAGGUUUCCGUAGGUGAACCUGCGGAAGGAUCAUUACCAAAUCCAAAUACCCAAACCCCAUGUGAACUAUUGUAUAGUCUGUCUUUGGGAGAAAAACCAUCCAAGAAAAUUUUAGCUUUUAUUAGCUCAUUUUUUUCUUGGAUUUUUUCUCCCAAUAGAGUCCGGCGCAACUUUAUUGUUGUGUCCAGAUUCGAAACCCUAAAAACCACUUGAUUUUUCUGUUGGAAUUUCUUUUUUUAAUUUUUUAAAUAAAAGACAACUUUUAACGGCGGAUCUCUUGGCUCGU
rnacentral:misc_RNA from 1 species